GACUACCGGGGUAUCUAAGCCUGUUUGAUCCCCACGCUUUCGAGCCUCAGUGUCAAUAACUGCGUAGUAAGCUGCCUUCGCUAUUGGUGUUCUAUAUCAUAUCUAAGCAUUUCACCGCUACAUGAUAUAUUCCGCUUACCUCCACAGUAUUCAAGAUCGAUAGUAUCAAUGGCAGUUUCCAAGUUAAGCUCGGAGAUUUCACCACUGACUUACCAACCCACCUACGCUCCCUUUAAACCCAGUGAAUCCGGAUAACGCUUGCACCCUCCGUAUUACCGCGGCUGCUGGCACGGAGUUAGCCGGUGCUUAUUCAUAAAGUACCGUCAACCCAUUUAGAAAAAUGGGGUUUCUUCUUUUAUAAAAGGAGUUUACAAUCCAGAGGACCUUCAUCCUCCACGCGGCAUGGCUGGUUCAGAGUUUCGUCCAUUGACCAAUAUUCCUCACUGCAGCCCCCCGUAGG
rnacentral:rRNA from 1 species